GGAAAACCAACGGAGAUAGGUUUGUUGGUGAGCCGAGGGUAAAACCAACGUGUAAGGGUUUGAUUGUGAUCCCGGGAAAACAAUCGGAGUGGUUCUAGUCGGUGAGCCUGGGAAACCGACCGAGUUCGUUGUGACCUCGUAAAACAACAAGUUGGGUUGUGAGCUUGUAAAACAACCGGCUGUAAUCUGUAGGAUUAUAGUGAAAUUUCCAAGAAGUCUUGGGGAGUGGAUGUAGGUGCUGGGGUGCACCGAACCACUAUAUGUUUGUUGUGUUUGCAAUGCUCCUUGAUAUUAUCUAACUAACACACUUACUUACUUAGAUAAAUUGCUUGCUUAACUGCUAUCCGCACAUCCUUUAGUUGCAA
rnacentral:lncRNA from 1 species